AAUUAAGCUGUAGAAACAUCUCAAGGAUGAUCAGUGGAAACAUGAGGCACCUGAGCUCAAUUUAGAGUUUCAUUACAAGAGACUGUAAAUACUCAUGUACAUGUGAUUUCUUAGUUGUUUUUUUUAAAUAAAUUAUAAAAAAAUAAAAAAAUCUAAGUUUCCUCAGCAGACUAAAAGCCUAGCCCUUUUAGUGAAAAGAUUUUCCACCAUUUAGCAUGUGGAACAAAAGCUAUAUAAACAGGACUUCUAGAAUUUCUUCAGCUCAUGCAAACCACAAAUGAACAUACUAGUGACAGUCUGUGAAAAACAUAUCUCAGAAUUAUCCUGCAGAGUUAUUCCAGAACAACAGCUGUUGCAUUUAAACUUUAUAGAGGAGAUCUGAACACCAUUCGUGUAACCUGUGAGUGAGCUCAACUUAACCCAAAUUUGGAGAAUGGUAAGCAAAGGGUGCAGGUUU